ensembl:lncRNA
CCCAUAAUGGCAUCAUUGUAUCUGUCCCAUAAUGGCAUCAUUGUAUCUAUAGACAUGGCAUCAUUGUAUCUGUCCCAUAAUGGCAUCAUUGUAUCUGUCCCAUAACGGCAUCAUUGUAUCUGUCCCAUAACGGCAUCAUUGUAUCUGUCCCAUAACGGCAUCAUUGUAUCUGUCCCAUAACGGCAUCAUUGUAUCUGUCCCAUAACAGCAUCAUUGUAUAGAUAGACAUGGCAUCAUUGUAUCUGUCCCAUAAUGGCAUCAUUGUAUCUAUAGACAUGGCAUCACUGUAUCUGUCCCAUAACGGCAUCAUUUCAUCUGUCCCAUAACGGCAUCACUGUAUCUGUCCCAUAACGGCAUCAUUGUAUCUGCCCCAUAACGGCAUCUUUGUAUCCAUAGACAUGGCAUCAUUUUAUCUGUCCCAUAACGACAUCAUUGUAUCUGUCCCAUAACAGCAUCAUUGUAUUUGUCCCAUAACAGCAUCAUUUUAUCCAUCCCACAAGGGCAUCAUUGUAUCUGUCCCAUAAUGGCGACGCUAUUAAUAAUGGCAACCCCAUUGAGGGCAUCUCAAUUUUGAAGUAGUCCAUUUUCUUCUACAACUUCUUCAAUGAGUUGGUAAACAAACUGAAAGGGAGCACACUGCCCCCCGCAGGAUGUUGUCUGAACAGGUAUAAAGCCAAGGAUGCUGAUUUAAUGCCACCUGCAAUUAUGGGAUGUUUGCUCACACAUAUAAUGAAUUGGCUGAUCCCUGCUGAUGACCCAGAUGGAAUCAUUCCUUAACCCAUAGGAAGUCUCACCCAGCUGACUACUUCCAAAUGGUGAAAGUCCUCAGUGGCGCUGCACAUCCUAAAACAGUUUUAUGGGCACUAGAGUCCUCUAUCUAACUCUAUGGUUGGGAAACACCACUUACCUCCUUGUGUAUUCUCAAUAGUGUAGCCUUAGGGGUGUGUUCAAUAGUCUCUAGUGUAGCCUUAGGGGUGAGUUUCAAUAGUCUCUAGUGUAGCCUAGGGGUGAGUCUCAAUAGUCUCUAGUGUAGUCUAGAGGUAAGUCUCAAUAUUCUCUAGUGUAGUCAAGGGGUGAGUCUCAAUAGUCUCUAGUGUAGUCAAGGGGUGAGUCUCAUUACUGUUUCGUCUGUUAUACUAAUGCUGCCACUAGAUGGGGUCAGAUGGACCUGCAAGUGACAUUUUUAAUUUGGUAUUCUAGUUCAACUAUUGAGAUGCAUCGCUGGGAGGAAACAAAACUAGACUGUUGAGAUGUACCGCUAGAAGGAUAUGAGACUAGAUUAUUGAGAUGUAGCCCUAGAAGGAUAUUAGACUAGAUUAUUGAGAUGUACCCCUAGAAGGAUAUUAGACUAGAUUAUUGAGAUUUACCCCUAGAAGGAUAUUAGAC